rnacentral:rRNA from 1 species
AGGUGAACCUGCGGAAGGAUCAUUAUUGAAAUAAACUUGAUGGGUUGCUGCUGGUUCCCUAAGGAACAUGUGCACACUUGUCAUCUUUAUAUCUCCACCUGUGCACCUUUUGUAGACCUGAAUAGCUUUCUGAAUGCUAAGCAUUCAGGCUUGAGGAUUGACUUAUAUUUUUGUCUCUCCUUACUUUUACAGGUCUAUGUUUCUUUAUAUAUACCCCUAAUCUAUGUUAUAGAAUGUAUAUAAAUGGGUGUUUAUGCCUAUAAACUUAUACAACUUUCAGCAACGGAUCUCUUGGCUCUCGCAUCGAUGAAGAACGCAGCGAAAUGCGAUAAGUAAUGUGAAUUGCAGAAUUCAGUGAAUCAUCGAAUCUUUGAACGCACCUUGCGCUCCUUGGUAUUCCGAGGAGCAUGCCUGUUUGAGUGUCAUUAAUAUAUCAACCUCUUCAGCUUUUGGUUGUUGAGUGUUUGGAUGUGGGGGGUUGUUUGCUGGUCUCUAGGAGGUCAGCUCCCCUAAAAUGCAUUAGCGAAACAAUUUGUUGAUCGUUCAUUGGUGUGAUAACUAUCUACGCUAUUGACGUGAGGCAGUUUAGCUUCUAACAGUCCAUUGUCUUGGACAAUUUUUUUCAUUAAUGUGACCUCAAAUCAGGUAGGACUACCCGCUGAACUUAA